rnacentral:tRNA from 3 species
GCGAGAGUGGUGGAAUGGUAGACACGCUAGAUUUAGGAUCUAGUGCCUCAGGGCGUGCGGGUUCAAAUCCCGCCUCUCGCA